ACAAAAAAAUAAAGAGAAAGCAAAACAAAAUGACUCAGAAAUACACAAAAUGAACUAAAAGAGACAGAAAAGGAACAGAAAGAGACACAAAAUGAUGGAAAACAACUACAAAACAUGUAAAAUGAACACAGAAAGAGACACUAAACUAAACGUAUCUUUAUCCAACACACUUUGCCAACAAACAUAUUUUUCCAGCCGCUCAUCACCUGAGCAACAUAGUUCUCACAGAAAGAGAAAAUAAACACACAGUGGUGUCAUGUAGCUGAGAAAAAGAACCACAUGGAUGUUUUUUAACAGAAUCUGAGGCCGUGGAGCAGCAGUAAGGUGUAAUAACCUUUCUGGACUGUGGUUUAAAUGAUUCCAGACUGAGUUCUUUAUGUUUUUUAGACUGUAAAGCAGCAGUAAGGUGUAAUAACCUUUCUGGACUGUGGUUUAAAUGAUUCCAGACUGAGUUCUUUAUGUUUUUUUAGACUGUAAAGCAGCAGUAAGGUGUAAUAACCUUUCUGGACUGUGGUUUAAAUGAUUCCAGACUGAGUUCUUUAUGUUUUUUUAGACUGUAAAGCAGCAGUAAGGUGUAAUAACCUUUCUGGACUGUGGUUUAAAUGAUUCCAGACUGAGUUCUUUAUGUUUUUUAGACUGUAGAGCAGCAGUAAGGUGUAAUAACCUUUCUGGACUGUGGUUUAAAUGAUUCCAGACUGAGUUCUUUAUGUUUUUUUAGACUGUAAAGCAGCAGUAAGGUGUAAUAACCUUUCUGGACUGUGGUUUAAAUGAUUCCAGACUGAGUUCUUUAUGUUUUUUAGACUGUAGAGCAGCAGUAAGGUGUAAUAACCUUUCUGGACUGUGGUUGAAAUGAUUCCAGACUGAGUUCUUUAUGUGUUUUUUAGACUGUAGAGCAGCAGUAAGGUGUAAUAACCUUUCUGGACUGUGGUUUAAAUGAUUCCAGACUGAAUUCUUUAUGGUUUUUUUUAGACUGUAGAGCAGCAGUAAGGUGUAAUAACCUUUCUGGACUGUGGUUUAAAUGAUUCCAGACUGAGUUCUUUAUGUUUUUUUAGACUGUAAAGCAGCAGUAAGGUGUAAUAACCUUUCUGGACUGUAGUUUAAAUGAUUCCAGACUGAGUUCUUUAUGUUUUUUUAGACUGUAGAGCAGCAGUAAGGUGUAAUAACCUUUCUGGACUGUGGUUUAAAUGAUUCCAGACUGAGUUCUUUAUGUUUUUUUAGACUGUAGAGCAGCAGUAGGGUGUAAUAACCUUUCUGGACUGUGGUUUAAAUGAU